GUGAAAAAUAGUCAUUUGGGGACUAGAGUGGCUCUGUGAUUCCAGGAUCAUGGAUUCCACUCCGCGAGACUAAAGGGAGUGAAGGUGAGCUUGCCCCAAUAGAGCUUGGCUUGAGGUGUGCAAGGGUGCAAUUGCAUUGGCCUGUUGAGGAGAAUGAUCAC
rnacentral:rRNA from 1 species